GUCCUGGGAAGUCCUUGUGUUGCACCCC
rnacentral:rRNA from 1 species